GUGGGUGGAAGCUCAUCAUAGAGGUCACAUGCAGGGUGCUUGUCACUCAACCAAUCACCUUGGGGAAGGUUGAGACAAGAGCCAAUCAUUCCCUAGCAGGGUAUCACCUGACUGGGUGAGUGAGUGCACAGAGAAAUGAGCCAUUGUGAGUUGUCUUUACAGGAGAAACCAGCCAGUGCAGCUCUCCAGCACUACUGGUGGAUGUGACCUCACUGGUUUGAAAACACUCAUGGCUGGCAUAUGAGUGCAAGGUGUGAGUUGGAGUACACCUCCAGAACCCAAUUCAGACUACUCUCUGCCCAC
rnacentral:RNase_P_RNA from 1 species